GAGCCAGUCAGUAAAUCUGCUUAUCUCAAUGUGCUUCUGCAGAAACUUAGAAAAGGCGGGCAAUAGUGAUGCCAUGUUACAAGCUGUAAAGGACAGCUGAAAUCUUUAAGAUCCCUGAAAAUGGCUGCAGCA
rnacentral:snoRNA from 1 species